GGCCUAGUAGUUCAACUGGAUAGAAUAUCAGAUUUCGGCUCUGACGGCUGGGGGUUCGAAUCCCUCCUAGGUCACUA
rnacentral:tRNA from 1 species